rnacentral:tRNA from 1 species
GCGCCCGUAGCUCAUCUGGAUAGAGCACCAGCCUUCUAAGUUGGUGGUAGCAGGUUCGAGUCCUGCCGGGCGCGCCA